GGCAGCACGGGGCACGAUAACUGUCAACUGAGUUUGUAAUUUGAAAAAGUACUUAAAUAAACAAUGAACAAUCGUCUAUCAGUAAAAUCCUGUCCGGCAAUAGCUGCAAAUGUGAAAAAAGAGUUUUCAGAAAUCGGAUGAAUUCGAUUGUUUCAGGGCAACACGUAUGAGAUGCGCCGUGAUGGAAACGUAAGGAGUUCCGAGAGAAAUGAGUAAAUAAGCAAUGAACAAUCGUCUAUCAAUGAAAUCCUGUCCGGUGAUAGCUGCAAACAUAAGGAAAGGCUUUUCAGAAAUCGUCGAGUAGAUUCGAAUUGGGGACUACACGGUGAGAUGCGCCGUGAUGAAAACGUAAGGAGUUCGGAGUUAAAAAAGUGACCCAGCAAAAAAAUGUUAAGUGUGAACAAUUACCUAUCAAUGAAAUCCUGACCCGUGAUAGCUGCAAACGUAAGGAAAAAGGCAUGUUCGUUUUAAGUAAUCAUUUCACGAAAAUAAAAUAACUAGUUUUCAGAAAUCGUCGAAUGAAUUGGAUUAUUUGGGACAACAUUGAUGAAAUACACCGGGAUGUGAAUGUAAAUGUCCAAAAACCAUUUCUUUAUUAAAAAAUAAAGUAAAUGUAAAAAUAAA